CCUUACUGAACUCCGGACACUCGACGGUGUUCGUGGCUAGAGGAUUGAUAUUUCGAUUGAGCAUUCGGUUAACGGUAGCUGGGCGUACAAACCGGACCUUGAUCGUCGUAAGCACUCGAAUAAUCGGUAUAUCAUUUUUUACUAGUCUCAGGAGAUUAAUUGACGUGAUAUUAAUUUCACCAUUCGGUCAACGAUAGCUGGGCAUACGAACCGGACCUUGAUCGUUGUAAGUCGUGAACUAAUAUCGAUCGGAAGCACCGGUAGCGUUGAUUAUCUUCACCUUAUUUUAAUCCAUUUAGUUCCAUUUUUAUUUUUAUAUUGACAUAUACUACGAGAAAAGUGAAAAAUCAAAGAAUAUUUUACCGCGAUAAAUGCGAAGAUUUUGAAUAAUAUUUUGCCGCGAAAAAGCGAAGAAUUUCAAUAAUAUUUUGAAAUACUUUUACCGCGAAAAUACCCGAAGAUUUUAUAAAUUUAUAUUUUAUAUUACCGCGAAGACGCGAAGAAUUUGAAUACAUUGAAAUUAUUUUACCGCGAGAAGCACGAAGACCUUUAUUUUACUUUAACCUACGGAGGUUUAGAAAUGCAUAAACAUUGAAAUUGAUACAACAAAGUAUACUAAAUAAAUAAAUAAUUCGAUAAAUUAGAAUCACAUUAAUUAACCGUGAGAACGCGUUGUGAAUAAGUGUCCUGUAUUACUGCUGACAGUCCUGACACCUCACCAAAACCUGUUGAGGAUCAUGGCGCUCACAGACAACGCUGAAGAAAUUUUUCAGCAUAGGGGGGAGCUGUAUUUUCUUAAUUCCCGAAACCACAUUGUUCGCAAAUAUUGUCAGUAUCGCGAUGAUUAUCAGUGCCCAGCGCGUCUGUGGAUUUGGAAUGAUCAACGUAUAUCUCCGAUGGGAUGCCACGAGAAUCAUCUAUCAUCAGCGCAGAACAAUAGUGCACAAGACGUACGAGAGCGAGAACCUGUCAGGCCGGUGGAUCAGCCCAGAUACGCCCGCAAUGCUAACCAGCAUGUUACAGGAGGACAGCUUCGGGUGGUCAGAUCAGGAAAACCACCAGUUCCCAGAUAUUUAAUUGAAAUAUCGACGAUGCUUAAUAACUAUCGCCCAACCUCGUCCAUUUAUCAGGGCAGUGUUACCUCAAGUGACGACGCAUUAGCAUUCCUCUUUGGAAAUAAUGAAAUAUUUUCAUCAAUCGGCCGGUAAGAAGAAAUUUUCCUGUUAUAUCCGGCUUGCCGUAUAUUUAAAGGGGCCUCUUUGCCGCGCUCGCUGUAAAGUGCAGCGUUAACAAUUUUAGGGAUAGCAACUUCGGCCAACACCUCGUUGUAUGUCGUCAACGUUUCCUCCAAUCAGGGAAUUACACUUAACUGUAUUUUAGAUUCACCCAAUUAUAUAUUCUAAAUUAUUCCCUCCAGAACCGCGAACCGAGGUGAUCAAAACAACGAACACCUAAGUGCGGCAGCCUUCGACGCUUGAGAAAUUAAUGUAUCUUCCUUGCUGGCCCGCGUGAGUUCUAAACCGUGUUACGUUUAGACAACCCCUUUUUUUUAUUAUUUUCUAUUUUCUCUUAAACCGAUUAGUUUCAUUUUCAUUCACAAAAUCUAAACAGUCAAGUAUGCUAUAAAAUCCCACGGGAAGAUCGUCUCGAUAUUGCACUCGAGGAGGCGUGACAAGUUGCUUGUUACCGUAAAAUUUCUAUUCAAAAUUGUCUUUUUAUAAUUAUACUUUCCUAUUCCAAAAAUCACCUCAUGGGACGUGAUUUUUAAUAAUAAUUGUCAAGUGUGAAAAUAGCGAUUCUCGUCCGAGUGAAUCGCUGGAGUCGGAGAUUCAGACCGAACUCAUAUGAGUUAAAGACUCAUUAAAUCCAAAGUGUAAAACCAUAAGUUUGAGUUUAAUGGUUAAGUGUAAAUCCAAGAGAUUUAACUUGAAGAAAGAACCUUAGUGAUAAUAACAAUUUAACAUCUUGUGAACUGAGUACGGCUAGCCCAUAGGGGAAUAUUUCAAUAAAUAUCUAUCAUUG